UCAAGGAAAACCAGGUUCUUCUACUUCUGGACCCACGUAUUCUGGUAAACAGAAUCCAUCUUCCACGGGGGGCAGCCAAGUGAGCUCUGCUGGCAAACCCUCCAGUCCUGGAUUCCUGCUGCUAUUGAGUGCUUUGAGUGCCUUUGCAGCCUCUGCUGCUGUAUCAAAGUGGUCUGUAUGAACUUCUGAAGAUGUGUUUGGCAUCCUAGACGUUGGUUUUACUCUAUAAUAUUAGAUUAAUUACUU